UGUUCAGCAAGCAUAUGCAAACACACAUCUCUAAGUAAAGCCUUAUCAAGAGUUCGAAGGUGAGCAACAGUACACACUCACCUCACUCUACUUACCAAUUGUAAUCUUCAACUUUUUCAGUAAUUUUAUUAAAAUGCCAUUUUUUUAUUAAUUUUGUAUACAUUUAUUUGUUAUAUUUUAAAUUUUCAUAAUCAUCACAUUCUCUUCUACAUCUUCUCACAAGUGUCAGUUGCAUAUUCAUAUACUAAAUAUAUAUGUAUGUAUGUAUAUCUAUAAUAUGUUCAUAAAUUAAAGAAGUUGAAUUAAUGGUUGUAUGUAUUUAAUUUGCAUGUAAAUAUAUACUAUGCAGCACAUGAUUUCAGUUAGAGGUCAUAACUACAGCUAACACACUGACUUACGCUUACAGCGUAAAUGCAUGCAUAAACUAUUAUUUACCCGUUAUGCUUUACUUUUAUGUUUGAAUUUUUGAAAAUGAAAAUAUUCGGAAAUAUUUUUGAAAUUUAUUUUUUAAACAAAAUUAUUUCUGUGGCUAUGAGUCAGCCUAAAAGUAUGCUUUAAUUUGAUAUUCGAAUUUUCGAAAAUGUUUUUGAAAUUUAUUUUUUAAAUAAUAUUAUUUCAGUUUUUGAGUCAGCCUGCUUUAGUUUCAUAUUCGAAUUUUUCAAAACGAUGGUAUUCGAAAAUAUUUUUGAAAUUAAUUUUUUAAACAACAAAAAAUGGUAUUUUGAUAUAAUUUUUGUUAACUUUAACAUUCGAAAAAAUAUAUUUUUUUAAUUUUUUAAACAAAAAAUAUAUGCCAUAUCAAGUUUAUUGCAUGUGAUAACGGAACUUUCCUGACACAAAACGAUUUUUAUGCACUGAAAAUGCUUGGGUCCUUGUAAAAAUUGUAUGGUUUCUCUAUCUUAUGCUUAUAAUUUUACACAUAUUUUACGUAUACUUCACGGUUUCAGCAGGUAUAAAAGUAUGUUUGUUUGUAUUGGUGAUAUUUUUUUUUCAUAUUAAAAAAUAUUAUUUUAUUAAUUAUUAAUCAUGAACGCCAGCAGCGAAAUCUUGUUUGAAAUAAGUAAUUAUGUUUUCUCAGUUUUUCGAAAAUAUUUUUUAAAACCAAAAAACAAAAAAUAUUUUCAAAGCUCAGAAAAAAGUAUUUUCGAAAUCAAAAAAAAAAUUUAUCCACAAAAUGUUUUAAAAACAAAAAAAAAAAAAAUAUUAAAACCAAAAAAAAAAUAUUCUUUAAAACCAAAAGAAUUUUUUUUAAGCAAUAAAAAACAUUUUUUUGAAUUUUUUUGAAAUUUUUUUUACCCACAACUUUUUGCAUUUUUUUAUACAAUUUUAUGGAGUCACCAUGCAAGUAUCGCUGUAAAAAUAAGUUUUAUUAACAUUUUCGUAUUCUAAGACUUCCCUAAAGUGCCGUUAUGCCUAUGCUUACAUUACUUUUGUUUUCAGUAUUGUUUAUUUAUUUUUUUU